rnacentral:misc_RNA from 1 species
CGCACAUUGCGCCCAUUAGUAUUCUAUUGGGCAUGCCUGUUCGAGCGUCAUUUCAAACCCUUACGCCUCUGUUGCGUAGUGUUGGGGGAUUACUGGAGUCGUUCCUGUAACCUCUUAAAAUCAGUGGCAGAGUCGGUCUUGUACUCUAGACGUAGUAAUUUUAUUAUCUCGCCUAAUAGUGAAGCCCGGUACCUUGCCGUAAAACAACCCAAUUUCGAAAUGUUGACCUCGAAUCAGGUAGGAAUACCCGCUGAACUUAA